rnacentral:lncRNA from 1 species
UGGGGUUGGGAAGGGUGAGUGUCAGUCAGAACAUGGAGAACUCAGAAGCCAGACGGAGGGGUGUAGACGAUCCCCCGGUGAUGGGCCAGCACCCGAGCAUUUCAGAAAGGAGUGGGUUGUGGGAAGCCAACACUGUCAGCAGGAUCUGGAAUGGAUUGGAUGCCAAAGAAAGGAGUGUGGGCAGGAGCUCCUUGCAAGGUACCUACUAUAGUGGUGGGGGUGGAUUCUAGAAAUAAAAGGGGGUCAUUUGGAAAUGAAGGCGAGGUUAGAAAAAGAAAAGGAGGGAGAAGCAACUGGAUCCAUGACAAUUUAGGGCCCGUCCCCCAGCUCCCAAAGCAGUCAUUUGAUAAACCAAAUCGAGGGCA